rnacentral:rRNA from 1 species
AUUGAACGCUGGCGGAAUGCUUUACACAUGCAAGUCGAACGGCAGCACGGACUUCGGUCUGGUGGCGAGUGGCGAACGGGUGAGUAAUGUAUCGGAACGUGCCCAGUCGUGGGGGAUAACGUAGUGAAAAUUACGCUAAUACCGCAUACGAUCUAUGGAUGAAAGCGGGGGAUCGCAAGACCUCGCGCGAUUGGAGCGGCCGAUAUCAGAUUAGGUAGUUGGUGGGGUAAAGGCCCACCAAGCCAACGAUCUGUAGCUGGUCUGAGAGGACGACCAGCCACACUGGAACUGAGACACGGUCCAGACUCCUACGGGAGGCAGCAGUGGGGAAUUUUGGACAAUGGGCGAAAGCCUGAUCCAGCCAUUCCGCGUGCAGGAUGAAGGCCCUCGGGUUGUAAGCUGCUUCUGUACAGAACGAAAAGGUUUCUACUAAUACUAGGAGCUCAUGACGGUACUGUAAGAAUAAGCACCGGCUAACUACGUGCCAGCAGCCGCCGUAA